rnacentral:lncRNA from 1 species
ACCCAAGUCCUCCUCUAGCAGGCCCUGACUCUCUUUCAAGAUGGACAGUGAGACAUCAUUGACACAGCUGAGACUGUCUUUCAGAAGUUGUUACAUUAAGAAAACAUUGAAGAUGAAUAUUUUCUCAGGUCAGUCUCCCAAAGCAAUACAAAUUAGAGUAUGUUUUUUAAGUAUGCUAACCCCUUCCCAUAAUUGUGUGUUUUAGCCUGAUGGUCCUGUAAGUUCAAACACUUCAUUACUAUAUUAAAAUUAAGAAGAGAGACAUACAAACAAACAAAAAGGGUUAUUUACUUCCUAACAUCCCUUGCCCACAUUUUAUGGUUUUGAUGACUCUUUUUUAUUUUUUUCUUUUUAAUUUUAUUUUGUUUGAAGCAUGUUCAUGAUUAAAUCUGUAUGCUGGC